rnacentral:rRNA from 1 species
UUUGGUGGGUGGGUGAUGGCGUGCCUUUUGAAGAAUGAGCCUGCGAGUUAGCGGCAUGUCGCGAGGUUAACCCGUGUGGGGUAGCCGUAGCGAAAGCGAGUCCGAAUAGGGCGUUUGUAGUGGCAUGUUCUAGACCCGAAGCGGAGUGAUCUACCCAUGGCCAGGGUGAAGCGACGGUAAGACGUCGUGGAGGCCCGAACCCACUUAGGUUGAAAACUGAGGGGAUGAGCUGUGGGUAGGGGUGAAAGGCCAAUCAAACUCCGUGAUAGCUGGUUCUCCCCGAAAUGCAUUUAGGUGCAGCGUCGCGUGUUUCACUCUGGAGGUAGAGCUACUGGAUGGCCGAUGGGCCCCACAAGGUUACUGACGUCAGCCAAACUCCGAAUGCCAGAGUGUGAGAGCGCGGCAGUGAGACUGCGGGGGAUAAGCUUCGUAGUCGAGAGGGAAACAGCCCAGAUCGCCGGCUAAGGCCCCUAAGCGUGUACUAAGUGGAAAAGGAUGUGGGGUCGCGAAGACAACCAGGAGGUUGGCUUAGAAGCAGCCACCCUUGAAAGAGUGCGUAAUAGCUCACUGGUCAAGUGAUCCUGCGCCGACAAUGUAGCGGGGCUCAAGUACACCGCCGAAGCCGCGGCAUUCACAUAACACCCAUGCGGGUCUACGGGCCUGUGUGCAGUGGUGUGGAUGGGUAGGGGAGCGUCGUGCAGCCAUGGAAGCGCCGGAGUGAUCCAGGUGUGGAGGCUGCACGAGUGAGAAUGCAGGCAUGAGUAGCGAAAGACGAGUGAGAAACUCGUCCGCCGAAUGACCAAGGGUUCCUGGGCCAGGUUAAUCCGCCCAGGGUGAGUCGGGACCUAAGGCGAGGCCGACAGGCGUAGUCGAUGGACAACGGGUUGAUAUUCCCGUACCCGUGUGAACGCGCCCCUGGUGAAUCAGUGAUGCUAAGCGCCCUGAAGCCGCCUUCGAACCUUCGGGUUCUCCGGUGUGUGGAUGCGCGUGAACCGAUCUGGUAGUAGCCAAGCGAUGGGGUGACGCAGGAAGGUAGCUGAGCCAGUCAGUGGUAAUACUGGUGUAAGCGUGUAGGGCGUGACCUAGGCAAAUCCGGGUCACACACAGCCUGAGACGUGAUGCGUAGCCGAUUGAGGCGAAUUCAGUGAUCCUAUGCUGCCGAGAAAAGCCUCUAGCGAGCUUUCACACGGCCCGUACCCCAAACCGACACAGGUGGUCAGGUAGAGAAUACUAAGGCGAUCGAGAUAACUGUGGUUAAGGAACUCGGCAAAAUGCCCCCGUAACUUCGGGAGAAGGGGGGCCUCGUCUGGUGACGGAACUUGCUUCCUGAGCUGGGUGGGGCCGCAGAGACCAGAGAGAAGCGACUGUUUACUAAAAACACAGGUCCGUGCGAAGUCGUAAGACGAUGUAUACGGACUGACGCCUGCCCGGUGCUGGAAGGUUAAGAGGACCGGUUAGCCAGUAAUGGCGAAGCUGAGAAUUUAAGCCCCAGUAAACGGCGGUGGUAACUAUAACCAUCCUAAGGUAGCGAAAUUCCUUGUCGGGUAAGUUCCGACCUGCACGAAUGGCGUAACGACUUCUCUGCUGUCUCAACCACAGACUCGGCGAAAUUGCAUUACGAGUAAAGAUGCUCGUUACGCGCGGCAGGACGAAAAGACCCCGGGACCUUCACUAUAGCUUGGUAUUGGUGUUCGGUUCGGUUUGUGUAGGAUAGGUGGGAGACUGUGAAGCGGGCACGCCAGUGUUCGUGGAGUCGUUGUUGAAAUACCACUCUGAUCGUAUUGGACAUCUAACCUCGGACCAUGAUCUGGUUCAGGGACAGUGCCUGGUGGGUAGUUUAACUGGGGCGGUUGCCUCCCAAAAUGUAACGGAGGCGCCCAAAGGUUCCCUCAGCCUGGUUGGCAAUCAGGUGUCGAGUGCAAGUGCACAAGGGAGCUUGACUGUGAGACUGACAGGUCGAGCAGGGACGAAAGUCGGGACUAGUGAUCCGGCACCGGCAAGUGGAAGCGGUGUCGCUCAACGGAUAAAAGGUACCCCGGGGAUAACAGGCUGAUCUUCCCCAAGAGUCCAUAUCGACGGGAUGGUUUGGCACCUCGAUGUCGGCUCGUCGCAUCCUGGGGCUGGAGUAGGUCCCAAGGGUUGGGCUGUUCGCCCAUUAAAGCGGCACGCGAGCUGGGUUUAGAACGUCGUGAGACAGUUCGGUCUCUAUCCGCCGCGCGCGUUAGAAACUUGAGGAAGGCUGUCCCUAGUACGAGAGGACCGGGACGGACGAACCUCUGGUGUGCCAGUUGUUCCGCCAGGAGCACUGCUGGUUAGCUACGUUCGGAAGGGAUAACCGCUGAAAGCAUCUAAGCGGGAAGCCUGUUCCAAGAUGAGGUUUCUCACCCCCUCGAGGGGGUAAGGCCCCCGGCAGACCACCGGGUUGAUAGGCCAGAACUGGAAGCACAGUAAUGUGUGGAGGUGACUGGUACUAAUAGGCCGAGGACUUACCACA